GCGGGCUGGCGUAGUGGGCUGCGUGCCUGUCUUCCAAACGGGAGGUGCCGGUUCGAUCCCGGCCGCCCGCGCCA
rnacentral:tRNA from 1 species